GCAAGCGUUGUUCGGAAUUACUGGGCGGAAAGGGUUCGUAGGUGGCCAACUAAGUCAGACGUGAAAUCCCUCAGCUUAACUGGGGAACUGCGUCUGAGACUGGAUGGCUUGAGUGCAGGAGAGGAACGCGGAAUUCCAGGUGUAGCGGUGAAAUGCGUAGAUAUCUGGAGGAACACCGGUGGCGAAGGCGGCGUUCUGGACUGCUACUGACACUGAGGAACGAAAGCCAGGGGAGCAAACGGG
rnacentral:rRNA from 1 species